AGUGAACGCUGGCGGUAGGCCUAACACAUGCAAGUCGAACGGCAGCACAGGAGAGCUUGCUCUCUGGGUGGCGAGUGGCGGACGGGUGAGGAAUACAUCGGAAUCUACUCUGUCGUGGGGGAUAACGUAGGGAAACUUACGCUAAUACCGCAUACGACCUACGGGUGAAAGCAGGGGACCUUCGGGCCUUGCGCGAUUGAAUGAGCCGAUGUCGGAGUAGCUAGUUGGCGGGGUAAAGGCCCACCAAGGCGACGAUCCGCAGCUGGGCUGAGAGGAUGAUCAGCCACACUGGAACUGAGACACGGUCCAGGCUCCUACGGGAGGCAGCAGUGGGGAAUAUUGGACAAUGGGCGCAAGCCUGAUCCAGCCAUACCGCGUGGGUGAAGAAGGCCUUCGGGUUGUAAAGCCCUUUUGUUGGGAAAGAAAUCCAGCUGGCUAAUACCCGGUUGGGAUGACGGUACCCAAAGAAUAAGCACCGGCUAACUUCGUGCCAGCCGCCGCCGUAA
rnacentral:rRNA from 1 species